rnacentral:rRNA from 1 species
AUUGAACGCUGGCGGCAGGCCUAACACAUGCAAGUCGAGCGGAUGAAGGGAGCUUGCUCCUGGAUUCAGCGGCGGACGGGUGAGUAAUGCCUAGGAAUCUGCCUGGUAGUGGGGGAUAACGUCCGGAAACGGGCGCUAAUACCGCAUCCGUCCUGAGGGAGAAAGUGGGGGAUCUUCGGACCUCACGCUAUCAGAUGAGCCUAGUUCGGAUUAGCUAGUUGGUGGGGUAAAGGCCUACCAAGGCGACGAUCCGUACCUGGUCUGAGAGGAUGAUCAGUCACACUGGAACUGAGACACGGUCCAGACUCCUACGGGAGGCAGCAGUGGGGAAUAUUGGACAAUGGGCGAAAGCCUGAUGCAGCCAUGCCGCGUGUGUGAAGAAGGUCUUCGGAUUGUAAAGCACUUUAAGUUGGGAGGAAGGGCAGUAAGUUAAUACCUUGCUGUUUUGACGGUACCAACAGAAUAAGCACCGGCUAACUUCGUG